rnacentral:misc_RNA from 1 species
AAGUCGUAACAAGGUUUCCGUAGGUGAACCUGCGGAAGGAUCAUUAACACGUAUCCACGUACCAACCAAGCGAGACGUUUGUUUUCAACUCUCCCUACUGGCGGACGACUGGCACGAGCACUGACUGUUUGAGUGGGAGUUCGCAAGGACUCGCAAGCAGUGUUCGAUUAGUACUCGGCAACGAGUGCUGACAGUUUCUGACAGCUAGGCUCUUUCCUUCUAUGGAAGCUCCAUUCAAGCUUCCAUGGUUGGAGCACACUACUAACCAAUUUCACCCAUAUUUUGCUAGUUGACUUUUUAUCUGUGGAGCUUCGCAAGUAGUGACACACGUUUUCUAUUGAAACGUAAAAAUUACAACUCUUAGCAAUGGAUAUCUUGGUUCUC